GUAAAAAGAGUUUCUACAAAUUAUUUUUUUGAAUGAAGAGUAAAGAGAGUUGUUAGCAUGGACAAAAUGGCAAGGUUUUCUUUGAUCUGCUAAAAACUCAAGGGAGCUUCUAGUGCAGUUAUGGGUGCCUUUGCGUCAUAUGUUAAUAUGAAUGUUCAUGACUUCAUCAAAAUGAUACAAGUUUUCAUGUUUCUGUGGACCAAUAUCUUGAAUAUUUCAUCAUGAGGUUUGGUCUUGGACGGCUAGUAUGAUCACCAUCAUUUUUGUUAGCUGGCUUGACUUGUAGUAUUGAACUUUAGAAGUAUGUGCUUCUCACCUUGUCCUUGAGGGAAUAAUGAAUAUGUGCUUCAUGAACACUUUAGUAGUGGUGGAAACUGUAUAUUGUAUUGGACAUAACAAUGAUUAAAUACAGGUCUGCAGGGACCGCCUUUCUAAGAGUAGUCCUUGUGUUUGGAGACUUGUGCUGGUCAAGAUACUAACACACCUAUCUAACGGAAGGAUAACUCUUAAAGCCUGUCUAGAUAAUAUCUAAUCUAAAACGCAAAUAAUAAAUAUAAAUUACUUUUAGUGGAUAAAACUAAUAACAAGAAAUAUGUAUUCUAAUACGCCCCAUAAAGUUAGGCUAUGCGUUACUAAGCCUAGAACAAAUUGUGAUGCUUGACGAGUGCUUUUGUGAGUGUAUCAGAUAGUUGAUCAGCAACAUGGACAGGAACAACUCGAACCAGUUGUCAUUGGACAUAUUUGCACAAAAAAUCUAAGUCCACCUCAACAUGUUUCAUGCUCUACUGGAUUCUCGCUCAAAUAAGUGACAAUGUGACAUAAAUGUUAUGACAGGAAAGGCAUUGGAAACUGCUAUAUUCAGCUACUGUUGAGGAGCGAGCUGCAGUAUUCUUCUUUUUGAAGGACUAGCUGAUAGGAUUUAGGCCAAGGAAACUAAAUUAUGCUUAAGAAGAGGGUGUGUGCAACAAGGAAGAUUGGGCUAUGAAGUUGGAUGACACUCUGUGGGCAUAUCAAACAGCAUAUAAACACCUAUUCUAACCUCUCCUUACAGGUUGGUUUAUGGGAAAGAUUGCCACCUGCUGGUCAAAUUGGAAUACAUGCAUAUUGGGCAAUCAAAAAAACUCAACUUGGAUAUGGCACUAGUAGGUGAGAAAUGCAUGCUAUAGUUGCACUAGUUGGUUAAGUUUAGGUUGCAUGCCUAUGAAAAUACGAAUAUGCAUAAGGAGAAAACCAAGUGGUAGCAUGCCAAAGCCCAGCAGGUGUCUAUCUCUGCACUGAACAGAUAUGCUGGCAUAGCAACCAGAGUUCCAAUACUUGUGUGGGAGGGCACAUUUGUGUGUAAGGCUUCCUGCUACCCAUACCAUAUGAUUCUUGCACAAAUGGGAAACCAUCCUGAGCACCCACUCCACAUCAGUUUCUUGGAGGCAUUUGAUCACCGGUUGCUUCCAAAUCUCAGAGAUAAGCCCACAACUAAAUCCAAAUCUCAGAGAUAAGCCCACAACUAAGAGUUGGGAAGACAGUAUGUUUAUUGUUGUUGAUUGCUUCUCAAGAAUGGAUCCAUGUUAUAAUGGUGAUGGUGCUACCAAUUUGGUCUUUUAAGAAGUGGUGCGCCUUCAUGGUAUACCAAGGUCCAUUCUGAGUGAUUGGGAUAUACAAUUUUUGAGUUAUUUUUGGAAAACUCUAUGGGCUAAAUUAGGAACAGGUUUGAUCUUUUGUACAACAUAUCAUCCUCAAACAGAUGGGCAAAUGGAAUGGCCGAUAGGACUUUGGGAAUCUUUUAAAGGUCAUAGUUGAAAAUAAUUUGAAGGCUUGGGAAGGGUGUAUUUCGUUUGUGGAGUUUGCAUAUAAUAAGAAUAUUCUUAGUACAACAGAUCAUUCACCUUUUGAAUUGGUAUAUGGUUUCAAUCCUUGUAUCUCCUUUAGAUUUACUUCCCAUUUCCGCUAAUGAAAUUUUGGGUGUUGAUGGCAAAGCUAAGGCCAUAUCGAUGAAGAAACUACAUGAGAAUGCUUGACAAUAUCUUGCGAUCAAGAAUGAUGCCUGUGCUUCCAUUGUCAAUUAAAGGAAAAGACGUAUUCCAAUUGGUGAUUGGGUAUAGAUACAUGUGAGGAAGGAGGGAUUUCUAUCCAAAAGGAAGAGAAAGCUUGAUCGAAGGGGAAAUAGACCAUUUUAAGUUGUUGUAAAGGAUCAAUGACAACGCCUACAAGCUUGAUUUGUUCGGUGAGUAUGGUGUUAGUGUUAACUUUAAUGUUUUUGGCUUAUCUUCAAGUGGGGAGAGAUGAUGCGUAUCUAGAGGCUAACCCGAGUCAAGUGGAUCCUUAAAGUUGACCAUUUAUGAGGAUCUAACAUAAUUUUUUUUACAAGAACUCCAAGACGUAACUCAAAUGAUCUAGUAUCACGACUUAAAGGACUAUGAUUGAAUCAAAUAAGCAAAUCCAAGGCCAAUUAUUCCUUCUUGCAUUAGAGGGAUCUGGUAUCAAGAACUCCUGUUUAGGUCAUUUUCAUUAAAGGCUAACAAUUAAGAGUGGGAAGAAAUGAACUUUGGGCCUAAUUCAACUUCAAAAGGUUGGUUGGUCAUGAGGUAAUGUUUGCCCAAAACCAUAUAAACUAAAAAACAACUCAUCCCUCAAGUCAUAACUCAUAACUAUAAAUACUCGUUUUAUUUGUGUUCUUUCUUUUUAGAAUGAAUUUGGAGGAAGAAAACUAUCGCUGGAGCUUAGAGUAUCUUAAUUCUUCUUGGCAACUUAAAAGUCUUUGUUAAUGUUUGUAGAUUUAGUCCCUCUUUGUAGUUUAGUAUGUUAAUUUGUUUCGUUUAGCUAUUGUAAUAGUUAGAAUUUCAAUACUUCGAUUUACUUGAGAGUUGAUUUCUCCAUUGAAGUUGGUUGUUCUGCGUUGGUUAGUGGAGUAAAAUUUUCAAAUAAAAAAUGUGAAUUCCCUCUUUCCUUUUGACACUCAAA